CGUAGAGAUAUUGUGUGGCAGCUUCCAGCUGCCACGAUCAGCCAGCCCUUUGUUCAUUAUAAUUCUUUUAAUUUGCAUCGGCAUUGCUGUGUAACCUCAGCACAGAAAUAUUUAUUGAUUAAAAAGCACAAAGUGGAGGAGCGCGCACAAAGUGAGGCAUAUUUGAGGCAUGCCACUUGACGACAAGUGGCACGCGCAUGCAAAAUUGCCAAGCGUACUGCCAGAUACAGUAUCUGUAUCUGCAUCUGUGACUGCGUCUGUGAAUGUGACUGUAACUGCCUAAAAUUUAUUAUGCCCUAAUUAGUCAUGUUGUGUAAGCAUAAUACGCAUCACUAGGGUUUAGUCUCUCUCUCUGAUAGCAGCAUAGAUUAGGGACGAUGUUGGGGGGCGUUUUACGAGUUCUUCGAGUGACAAUCGCAUGGAUGUCGCUCUUAUGUAUCUGAAUCUGUGUGACGUGUGUAACUGUAAUAUGCAUUGCACACGCCCCAACUCUUAUCGAACGUCAUGUGGCAGCAACAUCAGCUGCAGCAGCAGCAGCAGCAGCAGCGUCAUCCUCAGUUUACAGUUCCGUUCUGAUGCUGCCGGAAUUGUCGACAGAGAGCGACAGCAACUCGAUGGCUUUCUCUCUGGUAUGUUUCAUUUGUUUCACAAGUGGCUUCAAGUGUGCGGCUGUUGCACAUUCAGCUCAUGUCUGCUGCUGCUGCUUUUGUUAUUUGUACUUUUUGUUGCCUGCAUUUGUUUAUGCAUCUUUUGCCGUCUGUCGAUUGUCGAUUGUCGACUGUCGACUGUCGUUGCAUGCCUCUGCUGCUGCUGCUGCUUUGUUUAUCCAUCAAUGACGACUGACAAGAAACAUGCGACGACGCCCACAAAUACAACAAUAAUAACAACAACAACAACAACACCACAGACAAUAAGUUGUCGUUCUUUGCUGGCAGCUCAAUUUAAUUUGCUUUAAUAUUUAUUCCCUUCAUUUCCCUUUGGCAGUCAUUGUUUACUUCUCUUCUGCAUUCUUCGAAUCCCUUUUUUUUAUGAAUAUAUGUUUAUAAAAUAUUUCCGUUUUGAUUUGACAAGGCGCUGAUUGAAAUGGGUUAAACAUUCAUUAGGCGAUUUGCAUAGCACAGCAUCGAUUGAUUUUUAUGCUUUCAAUCAACAAAACUUUUCAAUUUGCUUCAUUAAACGGCCGACAAAGAAAACGAAAGAGAGAAAUUCUAAAAGAAACUAAUGAAAAAGUGUCGGAUAAGUGCAAUAAAUCAGAGUGAUGACCUUUUAUUAAAGCUUGAGGAAAUUAGAAAAAUAUAAUGCGAGAAAGAAAACAGAAUGUGAAAGAAUCACAGAACGUACAAAUGACUCAACAUAUUCCAUGGUCAGACUUGAUUGCGGUUCAUGAUAAACCCGCUUUUGUCGGACUUAAAAAAAAAACAACAGUUAAGUCUCAAAUUCGGGUCAAUUCUCAAUUAAAGCUUUCCCAGGGAACUUCAAACGAAAAAAGCGAAAAAAAAAUCACUCGAAUCUUGUAUUCAUUUUCUUAUGUUCUUGAUGGGCUGAUUUAAAUGUAUUCAUUCAAUCGUUUAAACAUUUUUGCAUUUUAUUCAAGUUAACAGCUGGGCGGGUAAAAGGUUCAGAGACAAAACUUUUGCGGAAAAACCGAGUUAAUUGUUUGGGAAAUGGCAAAAACACAACAACAACAAACAAAAACUAAGCAAUAAAGAGAAAUAACAUAACAAUAAAGCAAAAGAGUAAGACAAAAAAAAAUAAAACAAGAAAAGAAAAACCAAACGUAAAA